CCUGUCGGCAGUAGCGCGGUGGUCCCACCUGACGCCAUGCCGAACUCAGAAGUGAAACGCCGUAGCGCCGAUGGUAGUGUGGGGUCUCCCCAUGCGAGAGUAGGGAACUGCCAGGC
rnacentral:rRNA from 1 species